GACGAACGCUGGCGGCGUGCCUAAUACAUGCAAGUCGAACGAGAGCGACCGGUGCUUGCACUGGUCAAUCUAGUGGCGAACGGGUGAGUAACACGUGGGUAACCUGCCCAUCAGAGGGGGAUAACAUUCGGAAACGGAUGCUAAAACCGCAUAGGUCUUCGAACCGCAUGGUUUGAAGAGGAAAAGAGGCGCAAGCUUCUGCUGAUGGAUGGACCCGCGGUGCAUUAGCUAGUUGGUGAGGUAACGGCUCACCAAGGCCGUGAUGCAUAGCCGACCUGAGAGGGUGAUCGGCCACAUUGGGACUGAGACACGGCCCAAACUCCUACGGGAGGCAGCAGUAGGGAAUCUUCCGCAAUGGACGCAAGUCUGACGGAGCAACGCCGCGUGAGUGAAGAAGGUUUUCGGAUCGUAAAACUCUGUUGUUAGAGAAGAACAAGUGCUAGAGUAACUGUUAGCGCCUUGACGG
rnacentral:rRNA from 1 species